UGUUAAAUCGUCUGUUUUAAUUCCAACAAAAUCACUAAUGUUUGUCCUCACCUGUCAGUGAUCCUAAUUUCAUGCCUGAUUUAAAGGUGUGUAAUCACGUUGCGGUAAAACUAAUUACAUGCUGUUCACAGUGACUUUGAGUCGUGCAUAAUUGAGCCUCAGGAAACGAGCAGCUUGCAUUGAAUCCAUGAGGCGAGUCGAAUAAUUCUCAUUUACUUUGCACUUUUGCUUCGUCACGUUCUGUUGAACCGGGGAGACGUUAGACGGCGUGUUUUUGUUCAUGUUCUCAGUCUCUGACCAGCCUGAUGAGUCCAUCACACCGCGCCUGGAUCUGGAAUAUUCUGAAGAAACUGUAAUUAUUACUGACAGAUUACUCUUCUCAGUGAUGAAGCAUGAACAGCUCUCAUUACAGAGCUGUAUUCAACACACCACUGCUCAGAGUAAAACAGCGAAUGCAUGAUGCUGCUACCUUACAUGCUAACUAUGCUAACAGCUCGGACACAUAAGCGAUCAACUGAAAAUAUAAACCAUUUCUGUCAACAAAUCAGGAUUUAGAGUCCAGCUGCCAGCGCCGGUCUGCAGUCGCUGAAACAGGCCUUUAAAUUAACUGCGCAGAAACGUUCAGAAUGCUAACCAGAUGCUCAGCGUUCGCUAACCAUAAAGAGCAGCUGGAAACAAGAAGCUGUGAUGUCACUUCCUCCUUCACCAGCCGCUCAGAAGCUGCAGAAGGUUUUCGACUGAAAACAGAACCAGACAUCGUUUCUCCUGUAAACUUUCCUUCCUCUGCAGCAGCCAGCAGCUUUGUGUCUGAUGUUAUCGCUCUGCUUCUUGUUGUUUGUCUGUUCUGCUGUAGUUGUGUUUCGGUCUUUGUCUCCAGUGUUUUGCUCUGAUAGAGAAAAACUCCUGGAUUUAAAGCGGCUCUUAUCGCUAAAAAGACAUUAAACGAGAGGCUCAGAUGUCCGAAGUGACAUCCCACUCUGGGAGAUGAAUGGAUCUCCGCUGCAGAGCGUUCCCAUUAUGGAAUCACUGAGAGGCUCAAGGACAAAUCUGGGAGAGAAAAGUGUGAGCGUUUUAUUAGAUCAUUGCUGCGUUAAAGCAUUCGGUUACUCUACAAACAUGCUGCAUGCCUGGAUGUAGUUUAGGUGAAGUAAUAAAACCUGGUGAAUGCUUUAUGUUGGUGCUCAGAAAUGAGUUUCCUCCAGAUUUAAAAUCAUAUUUGUUGUUUCUGCUGCGACCUCCAUUAUCCAGGACAUAAAAGCCCCCCUACGAAGCUAAAUGAAAAUGUUUGUCACCAUAAAAUGAAAAUGAAAAAAGAAAAAACAGAAGGUUUUUCUUUUUAAGUGCUGAUUCCUGACAGUGUAAGCAGCCAGCAGCGCCGUUCGGCGUCAGAUGGUGCAGCAGGUUGGUGAAGGUUCAGGACGCAGAUCAUCACAAAAAGACAACGAGAAAAAUCUAAAUUUACA